rnacentral:rRNA from 1 species
UACAGAGGGUGCGAGCGUUAAUCGGAAUUACUGGGCGUAAAGCGUGCGUAGACGGUAGCGUAAGUCAGAUGUGAAAGCCCCGGGCUCAACCUGGGAAUUGCACUUGAGACUGCUCUGCUCGGGUGCGGAAGAGGGAAGCGGAAUUUCCGGUGUAGCGGUGAAAUGCGUAGAUAUCGGAAGGAACACCAGUGGCGAAAGCGGCUUCCUGGUCCGACACCGACGUUCAGGCACGAAAGCGUGGGGAGCAAACAGG